AGAAUCAACGCUGGCGGCGUGCCUAACACAUGCAAGUCGAACGAGAAAGUGGAGCAAUCCAUGAGUAAAGUGGCGCACGGGUGAGUAACACGUGACUAACCUACCCUUGAGUGGGGGAUAACCUAGAGAAAUCUGGGCUAAUACCGCAUAAUACCUUCGGGUCAAAGGAACAAUUCGCUUAAGGAGGGGGUCGCGGCCGAUUAGUUAGUUGGCGGGGUAAUGGCCCACCAAGACUAUGAUCGGUA
rnacentral:rRNA from 1 species